rnacentral:lncRNA from 1 species
UUUGUUAAUAUAUAUAUUUAAUAUUUUUCAAAUACAACAGAGUUAGGUAAAAGUAUCACAGAGACUUUUAUAUUAGGAGUUGAAUUGUAUUUUGUCACCUCUACUUAGAAAAUGGACAAACUAGUCCGUGUACAUUAAAUCAAAGAGCAAACAGAUCAUUCUAUUAAAAUUUCAUCCAUUUUUAUUAUUGAAAACAUAUCAUUAUACAUUAACAUGAUGUACACAUAAUCUGUCACGUAUAACUGUUUGGUUAUUUUGUCAACCAUGCUAGUUUUUAACAGUACAAAUGGAUGAACAUACUGUAAGGCCCAAAUUUUGCCCGGGGCCCAAAAACCAAAUAAAAUAAUUACAAAACCCAUUACCCAGUUGCAAGCCUAAUAAGCCCAAUAAACCAAAUAAAUAAAUACAAAAUAAACCCAAUAACCUAAAACCCUAAAGCCCAAAUCAGCCCACUAUCUUAACUUUUUCAGUAGCCACCCAAACCCUAGCCUCCUCUUAGCUGCCGCUCCUCCCACGAGCACGCGCUUCCACCACUGGCCUCCCCACGCAUGCCCCUCUCCUCCACGCGUCUGACACCCCUCAAAGCCUGCAAACAAGCAAGAAAAGAAGACACAAAAAGACAAAAACCAUGUGCAAACAACAAAGGAUAUAGCAGAGAAAUAGUAGCGAAAUGUAAAGAGAACUAUCGGCUAUAAAGCCUUGGGGGAGAACCGAUUGUAAGGGGGGUUUCCUAAUUCAAAAAGGGGGAAACGGACUGUAAAUAGGGGGACGGAUUGAAAAAAAAAUCAAUUAAAAAAACAGUUUACCGAAGAUGAUUCGCAUUUUUUUCUCUGUUCUUAUUCUUUGUUCUUACUUUAUUUUGAAUCUACUUGACGAAUCUAAAAAAGGAGUUUUUGGUGUCUAUUUAGUCGACGUUGGCUCCUCCGAUCUGAAGGUUGACAGAUCCUUGUGGGUCUGGCUGAAACCACGACGGUGGUGGAGGCGUAUCAUGCGCCGGUGAAACCCAAGAGUUGGCCAAGGUGAAGAAUAGGAGAAAAAGAAAGGAAUUUCGGGGGUUUUUGCUUAGAAAAAUGGUUUUGUAAGCUUUUAAAAAUAUAAAUGUAUAAUAAAAGUUGUAUUAAAUUUGAAGUGAUGCAAUUAAGAGGGUGGAAACCCGCGUGUUGACCUGCUUAUUAGACUGGAAUUGCGCAUUUCCACCUUAAAGGGGGAAUUUGUGCAAACAGUCCCUCCCAUUUGCACCACCUCUAAUUUAAUACUAUUCCAAUUCUUUCAUUUUUGCCCUGAACUUUGCGCGCCACUCCAAUUUAGUCCCCGCUUGAGUGCUGUUUUUUGGGGUUGGGAACAUUGGCACUUUAGCCCUUGUGCGUUCACGCGCAUUCCAUUUUAGUCCUUAAGCCUAUUUCAACUAUUUUAUUAUUUACACUUUAACCCUUUUAUUAUUUAUUUAUUUCAAUUUGUCUUCUUAAUUUUAUUUAAGUUAUAAUUGAGCCCUCUUAUUUUUUUAAUUCAUUUAUUCAUCAGUUUGUCUAUUUACAUGUUUAGUUAUAUAUUAUUCUUUUUUCAUUUUAUUAUUUCAUUCAUUUUCCUAUUUAUAUACUGUUCAAUCACUCAUUUUACUAUUAUUUAAGAUUUUAAAUUUAAAUUUAAUUUAAGUUUAUUUAUUCAUUUAUUUUAUAUUGAUUUUCAUUUCUUAUUACCCGUAUUUCGCUUUAAAAAUGGUUUAUUCUUUUUUAUUUUUCUUGUUGUACCAUCAUUAUCACGUACAUCUAUAUUGUUUAUUUACUUACUAUUUUUCAUGUAUACAUCUCAUCUAUAUUGUUGCUCCAUUCAUUUUUAUAUUUCAUGAUACUUACCUAUUUUUAUCAUAUACAUUUCAUGUUAUUUCAUCUUUUAGUCAAUCUUAUUUAUUUUGUUAAUAUUAUGAUUUGACCAAUAAUAUUAUUUUUAUCGUACUACUAUUGCUAUCAUCGUAUUAUUAAACUAAUUAAUCUUAUAUUGAUUUUGUUACAUUAUAUACUUUUUUCUUUUUGUAUUUAUUUACAUUAUUAUUAUUAUUAUUAUUAUCAUUCUUGAGCAACAUAUACUUUACAUUAUUAUCAAUGUUAAAAAUUUUACAUAUGUUAUUUCUUUUAAACUAUUAUACAAAUUAUUUAUUUUGAGAUUUUUAUAUACGUCUUUUAUUUUAUAUACAUAUAUUGUUCAUUUUAAAUUUCUUAAAUGUCAUUUAAUUAUAUCGUUUUAUAUGAUAAUUGUAUUAAAUUCUCUUUAUUAUUUAGUGUAAACCUUUCUACUAUUAUCAAUUUUAAAAUUUCAUAUGUUAUUUAUAUUAAACUUUUGUAUAUAUCUUUCAUAUGUUAAUGAUUUUAAAUUCUUUUAUUGUUAUUUGUUUUGAACUUUCUAUAUACAUUACUUGUUUUAAUUUUACUUCGGAUUAUAUUUAUAUAUAAAUUUUCAUUUAAACUAUUUUUGUAUAUUGUUUAUUUUAAAUUUCUCAUUUAUACAUUAUUUAUUUUAAGCUCUUUUGUAUGUAUUUGAAAGGGUCCCUUUUUUUAUUUUACUUUGUGAAUUAUUUAUCUUAACUAAUUUAACAUAUUAUUUAUUUGAAAUUUGCUUUUUAUAUUUUAUCCAUGUUAAAUCUUUUUCAUAUGUCAUUUAUUUUGGUAUUACGAGUUUUAAAUCUUAGUUAUUUUAUUUGUUAAUCAAUUUUAAACUUUUAUCCUAUUCACUUUGAAUCAUUUUUCGCAUGUUAUUUUAUUGUUGAUGAGUAUUAAAAAGUAAUAUACAUUAUGAAUAUUGCCAUCACAUACAUUAGAAAUUAUUUAUUGACAUUUUCAUGUUGGGGCAUUCAUUAAUAUUGUAUCUAAUUCAUGUUUCAUUAUUCCAUACGCCAUUUUACACUCUUGUUUAUCUAGUUUAAAUCAUAUCGUGUAUUAAGUCCCAACGUUUUACUCAAUAUGGAUCGUUCUGUUUUUAUUCCAAACAAAAUAAAUACACAUCAUUUUAAAUUGCACAUUUGCUAUUAUUUCAUAAAAGGAAAAUUCUCAAAUAAAAACAAUAUUCCGUAUUCAAAAUUCGGGAAAUCAUGCCCUAACUUACUGGGUUUCGAUUUUUUCUCGUUUAACCCAAAUAACGGCAUGUUCUUUUAAAUCAUAAAACGAGUUUUAAAUAAAAUGCUUACUCUCUGAGAUUUGAGGUGUUGUGUCCUAACUCACUGGAUAUGACAUCUUAUUACCUCGAGAUAAGAUUUUUUGCAAAUAAGGUAAUAUUUCGUGUUUGGAAAUUUCGAGAAAUCGUGCCCUAUGUGUUGGGUUUCGAUUUAUCAUUUGACCGAAUAAACGGAUAUCCUUUUUAAAAUUUCAAUGCAUGAGUUUUGGAAAUCAUGAGAUGAUUUUGGGUAUCGAAGGUUGGAAAUGUCGUGUCCUAUGUGUUGGAUGUGAUAUUUUACCCUUUCGAAAUAAGAGAAUCUUAAUAUCCACUUCAAGUUAGCUAAACAUUCAUAAAAAGGGAUCGUAUUUCAAAAUUUAUUUUAAAUCUUUUCAAUUUUCGAUAUUAAGACAUUAAUUAAUCAAUUAGGUACCAAUUUUGGGCGUUACAAGGGUGCUAAUCCUUCCUCGUACGUAACCGACUCCCGAACCUGUUUUCUCAAAAUUCGUAGACCAAAAUGUCAUUUUAGUAAACUAAAAUGUUUUAUUAAAACAAGGGUGAUCCGAUCACACCCAAUAAAGAUCGGUGGCGACUCCCGUUUUAAUUUUCACUUUCAAAACCAAAGUCGACCCCCCCUUUUUUUUUCAAAAAAUGGUUUCGACACAUACCAAGACUAAUUUUGUCUAAUUUUUUUUACUGAAAAAGAUCAAAUACAAUCUAACUAUUAAUAUAAUCACCUCCAUAAUACUUUUAUCUAUAAUUACCGUAUUUUCUAUCUUUAUUCCACUUAAGAUAUUUUCCAUUUUUAAACACUUUGGAUUUCCAAAUUAAUCAUAUUAGCACAUUCGAGAUGUUAAUAAUAAAUGUAGGGAAAAGUGAUGAAUUGGUUUUGCAUAUAUCAAUGAUUCAAUUCAAUUAAUUUUUUUAAAAAUGUGACAUACAAUCUAUUAAUUAUUUCCAAUUUUCGACCUCCAUUUUACAAAAUCAUGCAUAUUUCAAGCUUCAAGAACAGUCAAUUUUCAAUGAAAAACACAGUUUUAAACUCAUUCUAUUAAGUCAAUUUCAGCUUCGUUAUACCACCAUUGACAACCAUUCAAUUUCAACUUUGUUUUACCAUCAAUUGACAUCCACUGAAUUGAUGGUUAACUUCAUUUAUCCAUUUUAUUUAAUUGUUUAUCUUAAAAUUUUGUUUAUUCAAUUUAUUCAAGUUUUUUUUAAAAGCUUUAAUAUCCUUAUAAAUUACAAAUUUUAAAAAAAUCAAAUUUAAAAUUUGAUUAAUAAUUAAAAGGAGAUUUUAUGUUUUCCCUUGACAAUAAGGCAUUGUUAAUCAAAGAAAAUGACUUCACACAUAAAAUAAGUUGGAGUUGUUGGGGGAGCACAUGAGCUUCAUUUGAAGAAUAAACCAGGACCCAAUUUAAUUGGGGCUGUUUUUCUUGGCUCCCAAAUAGCAGCCUCUGAAUUUCCUUUGACCAUUAUUAAUAUAUGUAGGAUUUAUGUCUUUAAAUUCUUUCCUCCCAUGCACCUACUAAUAAAUACAUUUGUUAAGAUUGAUUUUAAAAAUAUUUUUUCCACAGCAUUUAAUUAGAGUAGAAUCAAUACCAUACAGAGAAAAAUACUUAAAAUUAUUUCAUCCACCAGAUUCAAUGUAAGUUUUUUUGGUUGCAAGAACAAGAAUAGAAAUACAAUACUUAAAAAAAAUACUUAAAGGAUAUUUCGCCCACGACAUUCAAUAUAUAAAUUUUUCUGUUACAAAAACAAGAGCAGGAAUAACAGUCAAACAAAAUCCUUAAGGAUGUUUAGCCCACAACAUUUGGUAAGUUUUGUUAUUGGUUAUAAGAACAAGAGUACAAACAACAACGUUUAGAGAAAAUACUCAAAAUUGCUUCACCGUAUUACCACAUUCAAGAGAGAGAAUCCAUUUAUUUGGAUUAUAUUAAACUUUUAGAUUUAAUUCUCGUGCACAGGAGUCCAUUCCUUUAAGAGGCUCUUAUAAGCAAAUGCAUACAAAUUUAAUAAAUGACCUGAAAUUACAUCUUCUGAAAUAUCUUUUAUUCUCAAUAAAUAUUAAAUUUUCUUUUAAAAUUAAAUUAAAUUCAAUUAAUAAUUCAUGUUUUAUUAAGUCAUUUUUACAAAUUUCUUUGUAGUUUACGAGUUAAUCUUCAUGUAUGAUUUAAUUUCUUUCGUAUAAAUUUCACAAUAUAAUUGUCAUCACCAAUGUAUUAACAUUAUCAUCAAACAAUUAAAACAACCAAACAAUACUCCAAAGGUUUGACAUUCAAAAACCUUGUUCCUAAUAAAUUUAAGUAUGCCGUUGCAAGACUAAGAUAUUUGCUACAAUUGUUACACAUGUAUAUGUAUAUGCAAAUAGCAAUAUGGGGCAGAACAUUAUAGUCAUAUGUUUGAAAAUUGCUUAUUGCAUGUUGAGCAUUGCUCCUAGGAUAUAAAAACAAAACAAGUCCAUCACUUUUGAGUUAUGAGCCAGCACUAAGUUAGCAAUGUAAGUACCUAAAAGACCAACCAAUUCCAAUGAACAUAAUAGAAAGCAAAGGACAUACUGAUCCUACAUGCUAAAAAAAACCACACCAUCAAAACUCAAUAGAUUGAGCAACUUAGCCCAUACCCCCCUUUUUUAUAUAGCUUUGUAGUGGCCAGUAACAAUAAUGGCAACCCCUCCCCAUUUCAUACACUUCGAAAUAACUUUGUAUUGGGUAUAUGGACCAGCCAAGCAUUUCAGCACUACUACUAAAAGCUCUCCCUCAAUAAUUUUCUAGAUAAACCACAAGCAAUGACCCGAAAAUUCGACCCCGCCCCCCAACCGGUCAUCGCAUACAAAUGGAUCGAGUUUCGUUUCCUUCAAUAAAAAUAUCAUCGAUAUUUCUUAAAUGCGAUGUUUUACAUAUGAAAUAGACUGAAGGGGGGGAACCCUUUAUUUCAAUCAAAGGGCUAUCAAAGUUGACUUUAAAAUCAAUCUGUUGUUCCAAUAGGGUCGGAAGCGUGUAAAUUAUUGUACUAAAAAAUCACACAAAGUUCAAUUCCCAGGGAAGAGAGGUGGAUCACAAGGAUCUCUUAAAUACCAAGUCUUUCCUUAGACAGAAUAUCCCUUCUAUAGUAAUUUAAUAGCACAAUUAAAUACUACUAUUAUACCCUCAAAUAUUGAAAGAAAAAUAGGACAAGAAAGAACACAAGAGUUUUAACGAGGUUCGGUAAAUUAUACCUACGUCCUCGGGCACUAACACCAGAUGAUAACUUUACUAUCUUCAAAGUAUUACAAACAAAUAGAAUUCCUUAAGAAUUCUCAAAUGGGAGAAGAGAGAAAACUAAGAGAGAAAGAUUGGUUGGGAUGAAUUGAAAUGAGAAAUGAGAAGGCCUAUUUAUAGUUGAGGUUUAAGGACCAAACAAUAAAUAGCCCAUUAUCUCAAGGACCAAAAAAAAUUAUCCCAUGCCACUUUUUCAAAGUCAAAUUUAGGGUGCUAAACUUGCACCACUUUGUAUUGUUUGCCAUUAAUGUUGUCUCCCAUUAAUGUUAACAAUCUCCACCUUGAAGAUUUGAUUAGGAUAAUCACAUCUUCACACACUUCCUUCAACUCCCCAAAUUCGAUAAAGCUAUCUUUUGUAGUGCCUACAAAUGCACUCUCGGGCGCCAUACACCUGAAGGUGCUCAAAUUCUCAGGAUGUUAAUCAAGUUCAAACAAUGAUUAAACUUGAUUGUUGUUACCACCUUGGUCAUCAUAUCUGCGGGAUUAUCUGCUGUCGGAAUCUUCUGAAGUAGAAUUUUUCCUUUUUCAAAGACUUCCCGCACAAAGUGAUAUCUUACGUCGAUAUGCUUGGUUCUUGAAUGAUAGACUUGAUUUUUCGCUAAAUGAAUAGCGCUCUGACUGUCACAAUAUAAACUUAUGUGACUUUGAACAACUCCUAAGUCUUUCAACAAUCCAUUAAGCCAAAUAGCCUCCUUAACAGCUUCUGUAACUGCCAUAUAUUCUGCCUCUGUAGUAGACACAGCUACUGUAGACUGUAAGGUAGACUUCCAACUUAUUGGGGCUUUCGCAAGAGUAAACAGAUACCCCGUAGUUGAACGACGUUUAUCUAAAUCACCAGCAAAGUCGGAAUCAACAUAUCCAACUACAAACUGACCAAGUGCUUCAUCCUGUUCAAAAAUUAAACCAACAUCUACGGUUUUUCGAAGAUACCGUAGAAUCCAUUUCACAGCUUGCCAAUGUCCUUUUCCAGGAUCAUGCAUAUACCUGCUCACAACUCCAACAGCUUGUGAAAUGUCAGGCCUCGUACACACCAUCGCAUACAUCAAACUCCCAACUGCAUUAGCAUAUGGGACUUUCGCCAUAUAUUCUCUUUCAUCUUCAGUCUUCGGAGAUAAUUGAGCACUAAGUUUCAAAUGAGAAGCAAGUGGGGUACUUACAUGUUUUGUGUUUUCAUUUACACCAAAACAUUGUAAUACCUUUUUCAGAUAUUGCUUCUGAUUUAAACAGAGCUUGCCUCUCGGUCUAUCUCUACUUAUCUCCAUGCCGAGAAUCUUCUUGGCCUCACCUAGAUCUUUCAUCUCGAACUCUUGAUUCAACUGAGCCUUCAGCUUAUCUAUCUCAUUUUGGCUCUUCGAAGCGAUUAACAUAUCAUCAACAUACAAGAGUAGAUAAAUGAAAGAUCCGUCAUGCAGCUUCUGCAAAUAUACACAAUUGUCAUAUUUGCUUCUUGUGUACUUCUGCCUUCUCAUAAAGCUAUCAAAUCGCUUGUACCACUGCCUCGGGGAUUGCUUCAAUCCAUAUAGCGAUUUGUUAAGCUUACAAACCCAAUUUCUACCACCAGCAUCUGUGUAUCCUUCUGGCUGAGUCAUAUAGAUCUCCUCUUCUAACUCACCAUGCAAGAAAGCCGUCUUAACAUCAAGUUGAGCUAGCUCCAAAUUCAACUGUGCUACCAAGGCCAACAAAAUUCUAAUGGAGGAAUGCUUCACAACAGGGGAAAAUACAUCAUUGUAGUCAAUUCCCUCCUUCUGAGCGUAGCCUUUAGCUACCAAUCUUGCCUUGUAGCGAAUAUCCUUCUUGCUAGGAGAUCCAUCUUUCUUUGCGAAUACCCACUUGCAUCCGAUUGCCCUUUUACCUUUCGGUAAUUGCGCCAACUCCCAAGUAUUAUUCUUCCGGAGAGACUGCAUUUCUUCAUCCAUGGCGCUUUUCCAUUUAUCACUUUCUAAGCUUUGCAUUGCUUCUUGAUAAGUGAUAGGAAUAUCAUCAACAACGGGAAGGGCGUAGGCCACUAUAUCAGUAAAUCGAGCAGGUUUACGAAUUUCUCUCCGUGGCCUUGCAACUGCAACUGGUUCUGGUGUACUUAGUGGUUCUUGGGUCAGAACCUCUUCAACCUCUAAUUCCUCCAUUGUGGCUGGAGAAUUAGACUUAUUAACUGGGCAAAUCCCCAUCUGCUCAAACUCCACCUGUUUUGGAGUACACUCCACCUGCUGUGGAGUAUUGCUCGUCUGAAUAUCUUUAUCUGCUACCUUUUUCAAUGUGGUAGAUUCAUCAAAGGUAACAUCUCUGCUACAGAUCAUUUUCUUUGUGCUUAAGCACCAAAGACGAAAUCCCUUCACUCCAGAAGUGAUUCCCAUAAAGAGAGCUUUCUUUGCCCUCGGAUCUAACUUUGACUCCUUCACAUGGUAAUAUGCAGUGGUUCCAAACACAUGUAAGGAAUCAUAAUCUGUAGCCGGUUUUCCAGACCAUACCUCCAUAGGAGUUUUUCUUUCUAAUGCAGAUGAUGGCAAACGAUUAACAAGAUGGCCAGCGUAUGUCACAGCCUCAGCCCAAAAUUGCUUGCCCAACCCAGCAUUGGACAACAUACAUCGAACUUUCUCCAGCAAUGUUCGAUUCAUACGCUCUGCCAAUCCAUUCUGCUGUGGUGUAUCCCUAACUGUGAAGUGUCGAACAAUACCAUACUCUUGGCACACAUCGAAGAACGGAUCACUUUUAUAUUCCCCUCUAUUGUCCGUCCUAAGCCGCUUGAUUUUCUUGCCAGUCUGGUUUUCGAUCAUAGUUUUCCAUUUAAGAAAAACUCCAAGCACUUCAUCUUUAGUUUUCAUGGUAUACACCCAAACUCUUCUGGAAAAGUCAUCAACAAAAGUAACAAAGUAGUGUUUUCCUCCCAAUGAAGGUGUUUUGGAAGGCCCCCACACAUCUGAGUGAAUAUAUUCCAAAAUACCUUUUGUAUUAUGGAUAGCAGUGCCGAAUUUCACUCUCUUUUGCUUUCCCAGAACACAGUGCUCACAAAAUUUUAAUUUGCAAGCCUUUACACCUUUCAACAAUCCUUGCUUUGCCAGAAUUUGCAAGGAUUUUUCGCUGGCAUGUCCCAACUUCAUAUGCCACAACUGCAUUGAGUCCAAGUCUUUGUUACCGGAAGCUGCAGCGACUGCUCCAAUAACUGUACUACCUUGGUAGUAAUACAAGUUAUUUUUCCUGAUGCCCUUCAAUAUCACAAGUGCGCCAGAUGUCACUUUCAAAACCCCAUCUCUCAUAGUAACAACUGAACCAUUGGAUUCCAAGGCUCCCAAUGAGAUGAGAUUUUUCUUCAAACUGGGCACGUACCGAACAUCAGUCAGAACUCUGGUUGAUCCAUCUUUAUUCUUUAAUUGGAUUGAACCUAUCCCAACAGUUUUACAGGCAUUGUCAUUGCCCAUAUAAACAACUCCUCCAUUUAGUUCUACUAAAUCAGAGAACCACUCCCGGUUAGGGGACAUAUGAUAGGUACAACCCGAAUCCAAUAUCCACUCAUCUGAAUGGAACGACGAUGAUGAUGCAACCAGUGAUAGUUCAGAGUCACUAGUAUCAUGCUUAGCAACACAAGCAUCUACAGCAGCUUUUCCCUUAUUCUUCAGCUUUGGACAAUUUUUCUUCCAGUGGCCUUUCUCAUGACAAAAAGCACAUUCAUCUUUCCCGAGUCUGGACUUUGACUUUGAUCUCCCCUUUUGAGUUUUCUUCCGAGUGUAUGAACGACCUCGGACUAGUAAAGCUUCUGUAUCUCUGAUUGAGUUUUUCUGUUUGUCCUUCUUUCUCUGUUCAUAACUGUAUAAGGCCGCACAGACUUCGCUCAGAGAUAUAUCACUCCUGCCAUGAAGUAGAGUAGUUUCUAGGAACUCAAACUCCUCAGGAAGUGACCCCAACAGCAUCAAAGCCAAAUCUUCAUCUUUGAAUGUCUCAUCCAUAUUCAGCAAAUCAGUGACUAACUGAUUAAAUUUGGUGAUGUGAUCAUUCAUUGUGGUACUUGGGACGUAUGUGAAGCGAAACAGUCUUUUCUUCAAGUGGAGCUUAUUUUGACUGUUUUUCUUCAAAAAUUUUUCUUCAAGUGCCACCCACAACUUAUUUGCAGAAGUCUCCUUUGAAAAAGCAUACCUCUGCUCUCGAGAAAGGCAUGAUCGAAUUGUGCCACAUGCCAACCGAUUGAUCGCCUUCCAAUCUUUCUCCUGUACAUCAUCUGGUUUCUCUUCAUCAAUGGCAAUGUCUAGACCCUGCUGAAAAAGGGCAUCUAGAACCUCACUUUGCCACAUACCAAAAUGGCCCGUGCCAUCAAAGAUCUCCACGGCCAAUCUUGCAUUUGCAAUUGUCGGUCUUGUCCACAUGGACGAUGUUGAAGCUCCUACACCGACCGUUUUCUCCAUAAUCUUUCAAUAUACCUAAGGAAAUCUUUUCUGAUGUGGAAGAUCAGUUCAAACUGCAACCACAGAGCAUACUACGAUUAACCUUCGGCUCUUGAUACCACUUGUUGUUCCAAUAGGGUCGGAAGCGUGUAAAUUAUUGUACUAAAAAAUCACACAAAGUUCAAUUCCCAGGGAAGAGAGGUGGAUCACAAGGAUCUCUUAAAUACCAAGUCUUUCCUUAGACAGAAUAUCCCUUCUAUAGUAAUUUAAUAGCACAAUUAAAUACUACUAUUAUACCCUCAAAUAUUGAAAGAAAAAUAGGACAAGAAAGAACACAAGAGUUUUAACGAGGUUCGGUAAAUUAUACCUACGUCCUCGGGCACUAACACCAGAUGAUAACUUUACUAUCUUCAAAGUAUUACAAACAAAUAGAAUUCCUUAAGAAUUCUCAAAUGGGAGAAGAGAGAAAACUAAGAGAGAAAGAUUGGUUGGGAUGAAUUGAAAUGAGAAAUGAGAAGGCCUAUUUAUAGUUGAGGUUUAAGGACCAAACAAUAAAUAGCCCAUUAUCUCAAGGACCAAAAAAAAUUAUCCCAUGCCACUUUUUCAAAGUCAAAUUUAGGGUGCUAAACUUGCACCACUUUGUAUUGUUUGCCAUUAAUGUUGUCUCCCAUUAAUGUUAACACAAUCAACUCUCCCAAGUUGGGAACAUUGAGCAAAUUGUUGAAGGCCACCCUUUAAGCUCUCCCACCCAUUUUUCAAUACCUUACCAGUUGAGUUUAGGCAUCAAAUCAGCUAAAACUUGAAAAACUAGCAAAAGGGUCAUCAGUUAACAACUUGUCCAAUUUGAUGACAUAUAAAAAUUGGAAAUAUAAAGGGUGUCUAAUCUGUCAAUUUAACCCAAUCCCUUGAAUGAUUUAACAUUUAACCGUGCUGUAUUCUCAUUUGUUCAUUGUUCUAAUAAUUGAACUUAAUGUUCUUUUCAAAAACUGACCAACUAUGAACAAAUUGACUUUUUGUCGGUUGUCUAUGCAAUAUAUAUAUAAGCUAGGCACUUUUCUUCUCAAAGUGGAUAUUUAAGUAAUGACACAAUAUAUAUACACUGUAAAUUUUCAAGUAUUCACAAGGAAACACAGAAUUACAGAGAUAAAACAGAGGAAAAUAGUACAUUUUUCCCUGUAAUUUAUGUACUGUUUAAUGAAGAUAAGUGAAAUAAUAAGCAGAAACCAGCUGAGCUUCAAUACUAGCUAAAGCAAAAGCUACAAGCUGGUAUCCCCAAAACCUUUUUCACUUUACAAUAGUGACCAAAAAAGGAGAUUUUUAAAAGUGUAGGGACUAAAAAAAAAACAGGGUUUAAAACAGAGGAAGAGAUUCCGGGGACUAUCCAUGCAAAGCAUCCCUCUGGUAAAACCUCUCCCUUUUUUACAAAAUGGCUGAUGAAAUUAGGCCUGUUUUUCCAAGUCCUUUGAGCUUAUGAAUGUUCCAUGAAAACCGUAUGGAACUCGAGAGGGAAGUUGAACCGUGGCUUCUAGCUUUAAGUCCAUGGCGUUCACAAUUUGCAGUUCCGAUUUCCAAGUCUUCUCGUCGUGAACGAAGGCUAAAAUAUAGCCGUCGUCUUCGUUCUCCGAAUGGGGGUUUCGAGGGAAGAACAAAGGCUCACCACCAUACCUUUGAUCUCCAUAGAUAUACUUGUUAACUUCCCCGGUCGAGAGAUCGACUUUGGCGAAUCCUGACACUUUAGGCCAAGGCUCAGCUAGAGCUAAAUAUGCAAACCGAGUCUUUCUUCCCAGUAAAUUCUUGUUCACCAUCCCUGCUUCCAAGUUCACUUGCUCGGAUUCAGAAAUAAUGGCACGGCGAGUCGAUUUCCCGGUCUUCAAAUUCAAUCUAAUUUCAGACAGAACACUCUUGAGAUUCUCUUCACAUUCAUUGAAAAUGGAAUCUGGGGGUGUCAUGCAAGAACCAAUCACAACAACUUCGUUAGUUUCUGGUUCUUCCCAAGCAUUCCAAAGAUGGAAACAAAAGCAAUCAGGUGCUUCAAUCCAUUUAAUCCCAGAAGCAUCAAUGGCAUUCUUGUUCAAUACCCCAAACCUUGAUACCUUGUUCUUAUCAUACACAACGGGUGAACCACCAUGAACCAUUUCACCCAAUUUGAAAACAACUUGUUGGUCUGGUAUCACCACAAAAUUUUCAGUGAUGGCGAAGUCGUGCAUCAUUGUUGGACCAUCAACUGGGAUUUCAACAUCAGGUGAUUUCUUACCACCGGGUGAAAUUUUAAAGUACUUGAGAUGCGGUUUUUGGAUAACAUCAUAGCUAAGAGCAAAGAAUUCACCAGUUUGUGGAUCAACUUUGGGGUGAGCAAUCAUUGUGGAUUUCAACUGACCAUCAAAAUCGUAUCUGCCAAUGGUUUUCAAGUCACCAGAUGGAGUAAUACGAACAUGGUACGGCAAAUCAUCUUCAGACAUGGCUAGAAGGUGGCCGUUGAAGUAAACAAGUCCCGCGUUAGCAACACCAGUGCCAUGGCUUGGAUCAACGAGUCCACAUAAACCUCGAGCAUAGAAAAGUAACAGUCUAGCUAUGCCUGAAUGACCAUGGAGUUCACCUAUGGCUUUAGGGAAAACAGGACGCCCAAAAGCUCGUUCUUGAACCAAACGGUUGGUUUCAGUGAACCUACAAGCAUAGCUAGCUGAGCCAUUUUUGAACUGAACCGCAUGAACCAUCCCAUCCCCAUCGAAGAAAUGGUGUCCAGCCACCGGUUCAUGAAGCGGGUUGGCACCGUUUCGAGCGUAGACUCCUUGUAUGCAAUCCGGGAUUGUUCCAAUAACGGGAAGCCUUUGUUUAACAGUUUGUUCAGGGACCGGAGCAAAGUUACCGGAAAUUUGUACACCAGGGUCAGCUGUUUUCGGCAAAGGAUGUUGACGCUCAUGAGAAACCAAAGCAUUCUCCACCGCAUCUAAAGCCAUAGCCGCCGCUCUUUGCAAAGGAUUCCAUUGUUGGGAUUGAGUAGUUUUCUCGGUGUUUUUCGUUGGAGGAGUAGAAGAAGGUGAUGGUGGAAAAGCUGGUGAUUGUUGCUUAGGCAAAUGAAGAAUUGAAUGGGUUUGCAAAGAACAUGAAAUGUAGCGCUUUUUAAAACCAAUACAAGAAGAAGAAGAAGACGAAGACUGAGGAGUUGAAACAGGGAGUUUAACCUUAACACAACAGCUCCCACUAGCCACUGAUGCUGCUGUUGAUGAAGCCAUAAGGCUAAGCCAAUUACUAGUGGUUAUGUAGGCUUCGUUAUGAAUGGUGAAACUUGAUUGGUUUUGAAAAAGAAUACAAAAUAAUUAAGACUCAAAGAUUCUAUACUUUUAUGUGUGCUUGAGAAAGACCCUUUUUCUUUUGUAGGUGAAGAGAA